CUGUGCCCGAAUGAUGUCGUCCAAUCCGAGUUCUAUGGAGUGGUCAUCGGCGACAGACAAAGCGCCCAUAUUGUCAGACAAGUUACAACUAUAUUCAGCCAUUUUUCAGCGUAUAAAACACGAGGUGCAUUCAAAAUUUCGAUUGACAUAUUUUACAAUAACAGUGCCAAAAUCAUGAUCUUCAAUCUUUAUACGUCUACUGUCUAAGGUCGUGCAAUUAAAUAAAUGUAUAAUCAUUCAUCAAUAAUCACACUAGUAAGUAAUAAUUACCUAUUCAGUAAUAAUUAAUCAAUAUGAAAAAUAAAUAUGAAUAAUAAUGAACUAUAAACUAAAAUAGAUAUGAUUAUAAUGGAAACACAGUAACCAAUAAUCAUGUGUUUAAUCAUAGUUAAUGUAAUUAUUGUGGAGCUAGCUGCAAGUCUAAAAUGAUAUACCCGCUAGUAAUGGGCCCACCGGCUAAUGCGUAAGUAUAACAGGCAACAUCAUUCAUUUCGGUCAAGACAGAAAAACUAUUACAACUGACGACAAAGCAUAAAUUUAUAAUGGCUAUGGUAAGACGUAAGUACACCUGGAGACUGGAGUAUCAGCCUGGACUGGGCCCCCGGCUAAUGUGAUGUUUGGAAAAGUGAGACAGUUAUUCUGGUCCCGAGCAAUCGGAAAUCUACAUCAACCUUUAAUCUUUAAAAUAUAAUGAAGGUAGGUAUAGGUACUUACUUAGGUAGUAAUUAUUGUAGAAUCGUGAACAGAUUAGAAUAUCUAUUGUAUUCAUCAAAUACCACAAUGAAAUACUGGCGACGAAUGGCGAUUUCACUGUUACUACAGAACAAGACAAUACUACUACAACAAUUAGUAUACGGUACAGUAUUAUUCGUGAAUCGUGCAGUGUCGUAGUCAGAUCUGCCAAGUCAAACAGUGUCAAACAUGAUAAACAAUUCCGUCACGCAGUCAUAGUGGCAAAUGCCAAGUGAAGCCCGUUUCAGUCAGAAUUCAGAAAGUCAGUAGUCGGAACUCAGUUGACUGCGCAACAAGAAAUGUGCAAUAAAGUAGAUACUGGCAACUGGCGUAUUUCCGAAUUGCCGAGGAGACCAAAAUUGUUUGUUGUUAUGAUCGUUGUAACACUCGUAAUGGAAAUUAUUUUGUAUACCUACUAAAACAGAAAAUCAACAUUGCUAAAUUAAUCUAUUAGAAUGUCGAACCCUGCAGAUAUAUUCGUUUACGUUAUUUUCUUCGUGCUACAAGGCCGGUUGGAUGGUUUUCCUAUAUCGAGACGUAUGUAUAUACCUACCUAUAUAUUAUAUUAAAUAACUUAAGUUAAAUUUGAGUUCGAAUAGAGAGAGAAAAUAAAUUUUGCUCUGGCAUUUUUGAGUUGCUCUUAAACUUAAAAUAUCAACAUGUAGGACGUAGGUACCUAUAACGUCAUAAUUAUUAUACGAUUUAAAAUAAAACGGUUUACUUUUCGCUAUUUCCAGUGUCGUCAGAUGUCUUAUUGUUGUGGUCCACGGCGCAACCGUCAUCGGCUUCGUCCGACAGUCUUGGGACGUUUCCCGCGACACGACUGCCGCUAUCCUCUUACUAUCGUGACCGGAUCUCUUCAACUCCCCUGCCGUCGUUACCUGCUGAAGCUGUGACCUGCAGGCACAAACGUAUUCGGUCGUCGGACGACCAAAGUUCGAUUCGGAAAUCAGAACGACGAUCGUACUCGUCGUCCGACAAAAGGGGUACGCGUCCGGUCGCGGAAAUCACCGCGCGUUCGUCGCAAUCGCCGCCGAUCCGUCAUAACGACGUGGCAGAAGUAAGGUCUUCUCGGCCGUCCGCGGAUACCCGUCUACGGGUUUCGUCACCGUCGUGCGGAAAGAAAAUGCAGAAGGCGUUUUCGACGACGACGUCGUACGCAAUGCGGCUGCAGUCUAACUUCCGGCUUUCCAAACGAGAAGAAGCCCCCGUGAUCGUGUUCGACCAAAACGGCAAGAUGUACACCAACGUUUACCCCCCGAUCGGGCACCGCAGUAGCGAUUAUGACACACGAAAAUCCGGUGACGGCCAUUGGGGCCGCCGGUAUUUUCCGAAAUGGUUGGUGAUUGGCGGUAACAAAACCUAGGUAACUUAACCAUUGCACACGUCCGUUGUUAUUAAAUAUAAUAUAAUUAUUAAAUAUGCGUAUACUCAUGCAAAGACGAAGAGGCUUAUUCUUGUUGAUUUGUAAGCCGAAAUUUGGACUGCAAUCGCAUAUGGCUUACGACGCGUCGUCAUCGAGAUCUUCUGCAAUUUCUUUC